rnacentral:rRNA from 1 species
GACGAACGCUGGCGGCGUGCUUAACACAUGCAAGUCGAACGGAAAGGCCCUGCUUGCAGGGUACUCGAGUGGCGAACGGGUGAGUAACACGUGGGUGAUCUGCCCUGCACUUCGGGAUAAGCCUGGGAAACUGGGUCUAAUACCGGAUAGGAGCCAUUUUUAGUGUGAUGGUUGGAAAGUUUUUUCGGUGUAGGAUGAGCUCGCGGCCUAUCAGCUUGUUGGUGGGGUAAUGGCCUACCAAGGCGGCGACGGGUAGCCGGCCUGAGAGGGUGGACGGCCACAUUGGGACUGAGAUACGGCCCAGACUCCUACGGGAGGCAGCAGUGGGGAAUAUUGCGCAAGGGGCGCAAGCCUGAUGCAGCGACGCCGCGUGGGGGAUGACGGCCUUCGGGUUGUAAACUCCUUUCGCUAGGGACGAAGCUUUUUGUGACGGUACCUAGAUAAGAAGCACCGGCUAACUACGUG